rnacentral:rRNA from 1 species
GUGGAUUAGAUACCCUAGUAGUCCGCGCUGUAAACGAUGAUUACUCGCUGUUGGCGACAUACAGUCAGCGGCCAAGCGAAAGCAUUAAGUAAUCCACCUGGGGAGUACGCCGGCAACGGUGAAACUCAAAGGAAUUGACGGGGGCCCGCACAAGCGGUGGAGCAUGUGGUUUAAUUCGAUGAUACGCGAGGAACCUUACCAGGGUUUAAAUGGGAAUUGACAGAUGCCGAAAGGUGUCCUUCUUCGGACAAUUUUCAAGGUGCUGCACGGCCGUCGUCAACU